rnacentral:tRNA from 2 species
GCGCGUGUGGCGAAAUGGCAGACGCAAACGGCUCAGACCCGUAAAGCUGGAGGUUCGAGUCCUCCGACGCGCACCA